rnacentral:rRNA from 1 species
ACUGAACGCUGGCGGCAGGCCUAACACAUGCAAGUCGAGCGGGGUUUUCGGACCUAGCGGCGGACGGGUGAGUAAUGCGUAGGAAGCUGCCCGAUAGAGGGGGAUACCAGUUGGAAACGACUGUUAAUACCGCAUAAUGUCUACGGACCAAAGUGUGGGACCUUCGGGCCACAUGCUAUCGGAUGCGCCUACGUGGGAUUAGCUAGUUGGUGAGGUAAUGGCUCACCAAGGCGACGAUCUCUAGCUGGUUUGAGAGGAUGAUCAGCCACACUGGAACUGAGACACGGUCCAGACUCCUACGGGAGGCAGCAGUGGGGAAUAUUGGACAAUGGGCGCAAGCCUGAUCCAGCCAUGCCGCGUGUGUGAAGAAGGCCUUCGGGUUGUAAAGCACUUUCAGCGAGGAGGAAGGGUGGUGUGUUAAUAGCACAUCAUUUUGACGUUACUCGCAGAAGAAGCACCGGCUAACUCUGUGCCAGCCGCCGCAGUAAUAC